CGCCAGAUGGUUGAAUUACUACUUGUGGUAACUGCAGAGUUCCUCGUAGUUGUAUGAUGAUGUUCUUCUGCUACUCUGACCUCUUAUGUCUCUUCCUCUUUGGAGACUGUUCCUCUCUGAAGGAUUGUUCUUGGUCCUCUGCCUUUCUCUUCCAUGCUGAUUCUUCGCGGCUCCCAUUCACCCGCAUGCCCUCCGAUUCGAUUUCCACCAGUAAAGGAAACAAACCUUUGCCACCAGCAAUUACACAACUUCACAGCGGUUCUGGAUCAUCAUCUUCACAACCAAAAUCAUGGACAUCAUGUGUCAUAAAAAGGUUCCUAGAGCCUUUAAAAACACAAAACUGACCCACAGCACCAUGGACUCUUCACCAGACCUAACGCUCUAGUGGCCUUUAACUGACAGUGAUCUGACAGAAAAAUUGGUUGUGAAAGAGGAAGACAACAUGCAGCAAAGAUGAGCAGGCCGGGAAUUGAAUCCCUGACGACCGAGUGGAGGACUAGGGCCUCCAAAAGUAUGGGACCCACGGUCUACCCCUGUGCCAUCACCACACCCAAAUGUGUGCAUUUAAAAAAAAUAUUGAAAAAUGUAAUAUUGCAAAAUCUUCUCAUAAGAUGCAAGGCUGCUGUACAAUUUUACAUCUGAAUUAUUGUGUUUUUCUUUUGUCUUUAGCAAACUUUUCUCUUUUCUUUCUUAUUUUUGAUCCAGUUGAUUGUAAUUAAAUUGUACUUGUUUGUCUUCAUAAGAAAAACAAAAAAAACCAAAACGUCUUCAUCACACAUUCGGUAAUGUUUGCUUUAAUUGUGACCAAAUGAUCAAGAGAAAAAUUAAAGAGGUGUCGGGCUCAAAAAACUAGAAAUAAAGGGAAAAGAGUAAACAAAAACAUGAAAGAGGAAGAAGCAUCAAGGAUUCAGCUGCGUAUAUUUAACAAUGUAGCCUACCGUGUCCUUGUAAUAUUUGCUAGGCCUGACUUCAAUAAGAGCAAAAAAAAGUUAAGAAGUGUACAAACUAAA